UACGGGGGGAGCAAGCGUUGUUCGGAUUUACUGGGCGUAAAGGGCGCGUAGGCGGCCUUCUAAGUCGAACGUGAAAUCCCCGGGCUCAACCCGGGAACUGCGUCCGAUACUGGGAGGCUUGAAUCCGGGAGAGGGAUGUGGAAUUCCUGGUGUAGCGGUGAAAUGCGCAGAUAUCAGGAAGAACACCCGUGGCGAAGGCGGCUCUCUGGGACGGUACUGACGCUGAGACGCGAAAGCGUGGGGAGCGAACAGG
rnacentral:rRNA from 1 species